GUGCUUGCUUUGGCAGCACCUAUACUAAAAUUGGAAUGAUACAGAGAAGAUUAGCAUGGACCCUAAGAAGAAAAAAAAAAUCUUUCCAAAGUACCAGUCUAA